ACGAACGCUGGCGGCGUGCUUAACACAUGCCCGUCGAACGGAAAGGCCCUGCUUUUGUGGGGUGCUCGAGUGGCGAACGGGUGAGUAACACGUGAGUAACCUGCCCUUGACUUUGGGAUAACUUCAGGAAACUGGGGCUAAUACCGGAUAGGAGCUCCUGCUGCAUGGUGGGGGUUGGAAAGUUUCGGCGGUUGGGGAUGGACUCGCGGCUUAUCAGCUUGUUGGUGGGGUAGUGACUUACCAAGGCUUUGACGGGUAGCCGGCCUGAGAGGGUGACCGGCCACAUUGGGACUGAGAUACGGCCCAGACUCCUACGGGAGGCAGCAGUGGGGAAUAUUGUACAAUGGGCGGAAGCCUGAUGCAGCAACGCCGCGUGCGGGAUGACGGCCUUCGGGUUGUAAACCGCUUUCGCCUGUGACGAAGCGUGAGUGACGGUAAUGGGUAAAGAAGCACCGGCUAACUACGUG
rnacentral:rRNA from 1 species